CUACGGGCCGCUGCAGUGAGGAAUAUUGCACAAUGGGGGGAACCCUGAUGCAGCAACGCCGCGUGGAGGAUGACGCAUUUCGGUGUGUAAACUCCUUUUAUAUGUCAAGAAAAUGACGGUAGCAUAUGAAUAAGCACCGGCUAACUCCGUGCCAGCAGCCGCGGUAAUACGGAGGGUGCAAGCGUUACUCGGAAUCACUGGGCGUAAAGGACGCGUAGGCGGGUUGGAAAGUCAGGUGUGAAAUCCUACAGCUUAACUGUAGAACUGCACUUGAAACUUCUAAUCUAGAGUAUAGGAGGGGGAGAUGGAAUUAGUGGUGUAGGGGUAAAAUCCGUAGAUAUCACUAGGAAUACCUAAAGCGAAGGCGAUCUCCUGGAACAUUACUGACGCUAAGGCGUGAAAGCAUGGGGAGCAAACAGGAUUAGAUACCCUCGUAGUC
rnacentral:rRNA from 1 species